rnacentral:rRNA from 1 species
AACGAGCGCUGGCGGCAGGCCUAACACAUGCAAGUCGAACGAAGUCUUCGGACUUAGUGGCGCACGGGUGAGUAACACGUGGGAAUAUACCUUACGCUGGGGGAUAACAUCGGGAAACUGAUGCUAAUACCGCAUACGCCCUUCGGGGGAAAGAUUUAUCGGCGAAAGAUUAGCCCGCGUCCGAUUAGCUAGUUGGUGAGGUAAUGGCUCACCAAGGCUCCGAUCGGUAGCUGGUCUGAGAGGAUGACCAGCCACACUGGGACUGAGACACGGCCCAGACUCCUACGGGAGGCAGCAGUGGGGAAUAUUGGACAAUGGGCGCAAGCCUGAUCCAGCCAUGCCGCGUGAGUGAUGAAGGCCUUAGGGUUGUAAAGCUCUUUCACCCACGACGAUGAUGACGGUAGUGGGAGAAGAAGCCCCGGCUAACUUCGUG